AAUAAACGCUGGCGGUGUACUUAACACAUGCAAGUCGAGCGAGAAAACUCUUUCGGGAGUUAGUAAAGCGGCGGACGGGUGCGUAACACGUGAGAAUCUGCCCUUUAGUGAGGAAUACCCUUGAGAAAUUGAGGUUAAUACUGCAUACGUCCCUUCGGGGAGAAAGAUGGCUUUAUGCUGUCGCUAAAGGAUGAGCUUGCGGACUAUUAGCUAGUUGGUGGGGUAAAGGCCUACCAAGGCGANGAUGGUUAGCCGGCCUGAGAGGGUGUACGGCCACAUUGGGACUGAGG
rnacentral:rRNA from 1 species